rnacentral:rRNA from 1 species
GACGAACGCUGGCGGCGUGCUUAACACAUGCAAGUCGAACGGAACGGCCCUGCUUUUGUGGGGUGCUCGAGUGGCGAACGGGUGAGUAACACGUGAGUAACCUGCCCUUGACUUUGGGAUAACUUCAGGCAACUGGGGCUAAUACCGGAUAGGAGCUCCUGCUGCAUGGUGGGGGUUGGAAAGUUUCGGCGGUUGGGGAUGGACUCGCGGCUUAUCAGCUUGUUGGUGGGGUAGUGGCUUACCAAGGCUUUGACGGGUAGCCGGCCUGAGAGGGUGACCUGCACCAUCGGGAUUGGAAUACGGCCCAGACUCCUACGGGAGGCAGCGGUGGAGAAUAGUGCACAAUGGGCUGAAGGCUGAUGUAGCAACGCCGCGUGCGGGAUGACGGCCUUCGGGUUGGAAACCGCUUUCGCCUGUGACGAGGCGUGAGUGACGGUAAUGGGUAAAGAAGCACCGGCUAACUACGUG